CCCUAAUUCCUUCAAACCGGUUCUCUCGACCUCCACUCCCCGCCGGAGUCGCCGCCGCUCCUCCGCCGGUGUGCCACCACGCUGGAGAACAUAGCGAACCCGAUGAGCGCCGGAGCUCCGCUGGGUUCCGCCUUCCCGCGUCGGCAUCAGACCUAAGAGAAAGCCCGCACUGGUCUUGGUCCUCUCUACCUUUCUCACUUUCUAAUUUCUUCUCCCAUGAUAUUCUUCUCUUUUUCUAGUUCGUGUUCUUUGAUUUGGUAUAGACGAUAUAUAUGAAGACACUCGGGAGUUCCCACAACAAGGUAAGAUUUUUCAUGUGCCUUAGGUUUUUGACCUUUUCUCAUUAAAACAGAUGCAAGAGAUGCCAAAGAAGUAGAAUUUGGGAGCUAAUUGUCAAAAUCCCGUAUUUAUGGAACUUAGGUACUUGUUUGAUUUUAUUAUUUUUAUCAGUGAAAUGAUUAGGAAAUUCCGUGAUAAAGGUAAAUAGAAAACAGGUCUUGAAUUCCAUGUUCUUAUGAGAGCGUCGCUUGGUUUCUUUUGUGCUCAUUACAUUCAUCUUGGAUAAAUUGAACUUCUUGCGAAGCUAUUUUGACUGCCAUAUCAAGUCUAGCAUCUUAUUUAAUUUUUUCAUCAUAAACUUGAUUUGUGAUCUACUUGUUAGUAUAACGAAUUGAUAUAUAUGCUUUUAAUUUUCCUUAUGUUCUGUCCUGAUGACCAUCAAGUGAUUAUUUGUUCAACCCGUUCCUAUAGCUUGAGCUAACAAGCUUCAUUUAACAUUAAAAAAAUCCAUGUUUGUUGACACAAGAAUCACUGUUAUCAUGAUUCAAGUCAUCGUAUCACAUCAAGAUCUUCUUCAGGGGCAAUAGCACAGGAACCGGAUGUCUAGAUGAUGGUGACCUUCACCAACUUGCCCACUUUCUUUUUAUCACUUGGCUGUCUAAUCCAUCAAGAGAAUUGACUUUACAUGGGUUAAUCGAAUUAGCCUACUUGAUUUAGCUCAAUGCUGUCUGAUUCAAACUUAAGUAUAAAUCCAAUUAUCCUUUAGUACAAGCCGCCAUAUCCCAUUUAAUAAAAUGGGUACGGUAGUGUCUAAAUGAGACCCCUUAUAGUAUUUAGUGGACAUUUGCCCAGGGUUUGUUUGAAUACCUUGGUAAGUUAUGUGUGGCCACCCUUGUGCAAGCCUUGAGACCAACUCCUAACUCCUAAUUACAUUGAACUAAGUCAGAUGAUCUUGGUAACUGAUACCAGUACAGCUAUAGUGUUCGUUCCAAAACUGAUCACAAGGGCAACCUAUUGAAUCAGCAGGAUAUGCUUCCUGGAGAAAUUAGUUUCCAUCUAUGCAAACAUGUAUCUUGACUUAGACCAAACAGUAAGACUUAUCGUCCAUUUAGACUACUGUAGUAGGUAUGUCACUUGUACUUUUUGUUUCAUGCUGAACACAAUAUGUCUAGACGGCAGAUACACAAUUGAGAGUUGCUACUUGAAACAUGAUCAGGUAUCCAUCAAAUCUCAGAAAAGUUGAUGAAUUUUAAGCUUGAAAUUGUCUUCUAUGAUGCAUUGUCUGUUCAAUUCAGCCCUUAAAAAUUAGUAGUAAAUUAGUUGCCUUGGAUUGAAUUCUGCUAAGUGGAAUUGUUCUGAGCUUUUUUUCACCAGUGUAAUUUUGCUGUCGUGACAAAAGGUUUUCUAAGGAGUACAGUUUUCUUCCCGCUGGAGCAGAAAUCCUUGUUGCAGCUUCUGUCAUUGUAUUUAUUAUAUGGCUUUAUGCUUUGUUACAUUGAUCUUUCCAAAUGCCACUUGAUUCUCCUUUGAUCUAGAAAAUAUCAAUCACUUGAGAAAAAAAGAGGAUUAUAUUUGCAGCUUCCAACUUGUUGUGGAUGUGGCAAGAAAAUAUGAUGUGUUGCCAUUUGCAUAUAUUGGAAUGGUUUUUUUAUUUUUUACUUGUUUCCAUAAGACAUUUGUCUACAAGAGUUAACUGCUCUUUUUUUUUCGUAAUAAUAGUUCCAAAAACAAAAAGAAGUCAGAAGAGCUGUUUGACAAUAGAACCCCAGAAACAACUUCCUUAGUCAGACAAUAAAUUAAAACCUAAAAGAAGUGCAGGAAAUGAGGCAAUUUAGAGAGCUUUUGUAUAUUGAAGUAGGUGCAUAUGUUUCUGGCAGAAAUAAUAUAGCAAAGUGAGACAUUAUCUGCUGUUUGUUGUAUAGGACAAAUUGGUAUUCCAAAGAUAUAGUCAAGCAGACCAUAUUAUCUACAUGCUAUCAUAUAGCAGAAGACUAAAAGAAGGCCAUGCCUCAUACAAGUCCCCUUUAAACUUCUAGACACUAUCCUCAAGUCUAUAAGAGAGCAUAGUUUUAUUGUCAUGACUUGAGUUCAAUAACCAUGUCUGCUAAGAGCCCCAAAAAAUAUUUAAAGUCAUUCUUUACAGUGGAUAGUGACUCAGAUACUUGUUGAAACCUUGUCCACUGAUCUCAUCCAAGGUAUUACAAAUCCAAACUAUAGUUUUGUAUUUUUCUUUAUAUAUAUAGGGCUAUCACAGAUGCAUCACUUUAUGCAUUGUAAUAGCCAUCCACUUCAAGUUGCAUCACUCCAUGCUUGUGUGUUGUUGCACUUCUAGAAGCUGAGCCACCUCCUCCACACACCCACACCCC
rnacentral:lncRNA from 1 species